rnacentral:rRNA from 1 species
CCCUUAGAUGUUCUGGGCCGCACGCGUGCUACACUGAGUGGAUCAGCGGGUCAGGUUGCGCGAAAGCGUUUCCUAAUCUUUAAAUCCGCUCGUGAUGGGGAUUGACGGUUGCAAUUUUCUGUCAUGAACGAGGAAUACCUUGUAAGCGCGGGUCAUCAUCCCGCGCUGAAUACGUCCCUGCCCUUUGUACACACCGCCCGUCGCACCUACCGAUUGAAUGGUCCGGUGAAGUCCUCGGACCCAGUUGAACCUCGAGUUGAACAGGGAAAGUUGACUAAAUCUUACCAUUUAGAGGAAGGUGAAGUCGUAACA